AUUGAACGCUGGCGGCAGGCCUAACACAUGCAAGUCGAGCGGAUGAAGGGAGCUUGCUCCUGGAUUCAGCGGCGGACGGGUGAGUAAUGCCUAGGAAUCUGCCUGGUAGUGGGGGAUAACGUCCGGAAACGGGCGCUAAUACCGCAUACGUCCUGAGGGAGAAAGUGGGGGAUCUUCGGACCUCACGCUAUCAGAUGAGCCUAGGUCGGAUUAGCUAGUUGGUGGGGUAAAGGCCUACCAAGGCGACGAUCCGUAACUGGUCUGAGAGGAUGAUCAGUCACACUGGAACUGAGACACGGUCCAGACUCCUACGGAAGGCAGCAGUGGGGAAUAUUGGACAAUGGGCGAAAGCCUGAUCCAGCCAUGCCGCGUGUGUGAAGAAGGUCUUCGGAUUGUAAAGCACUUUAAGUUGGGAGGAAGGGCAGUAAGUUAAUACCUUGCUGUUUUGACGUUACCAACAGAACAAGCACCGGCUAACUUCGUG
rnacentral:rRNA from 1 species